rnacentral:rRNA from 1 species
UGGGGAAUAUUGGACAAUGGGCGCAAGCCUGAUCCAGCAAUGCCGCGUGUGUGAAGAAGGCCUGCGGGUUGUAAAGCACUUUCAGUGGGGAGGAAGGCCUCGGCGUUAAUAUCGUCGAGGAUUGACGUUACCUACAGAAGAAGCACCGGCUAACUCUGUGCCAGCAGCCGCGGUAAUACAGAGGGUGCAAGCGUUAAUCGGAAUUACUGGGCGUAAAGGGCGCGUAGGUGGUUAAUUAAGUCAGAUGUGAAAUCCCCGGGCUUAACCUGGGAAUUGCAUUUGAAACUGAUUGGCUAGAGUACGGGAGAGGGAAGUGGAAUUUCCGGUGUAGCGGUGAAAUGCGUAGAUAUCGGAAGGAACACCAGUGGCGAAGGCGACUUCCUGGCCCGUUACUGACACUGAGGCGCGAAAGCGUGGGGAGCGAACAGG